GGAUUCGCUGCGGGAGCAGAAGCGGGGAGACGCCGGGUACACUAGGAACUUGGGGUGGGGUGCGCUGCGGACCGGAGGCGGGCGGCGGAGGCCGGAGGGCGGACGCUCGCGUGUGGGGGCGGAGCGAGCCCGGCGGAAGUUCCGCUGCGGCUGGCCCCGCCCUGCAGCUUCCGUUUCCGGGCCUGGCCGAGCCGGGCCUGCGCCGUCGUCCCGGCCGGCGGGGAAGCGGGGAGCUGGUACCCCGCCCCGGGGUCCUCGGCUCGUGCCUCUCCGGAGUGUGACCCGGCGCCGCUCGGACGGGGUUAUCGUUCAGAUGCUGCCCUUCUCCGCCUCUGCAGGGCGUCCGAGGCGCCCCUCGGAGCUCGGGGCUCCUCGGCCGAGCCCUCCCCCGACCCCCGGCCGUCCGGGCCAGACUCUGUCCCUUCUUGGGUCCCCGGGUCCCGGCGACGCCCCCCACCCCCCGGCGACGCCCACGCCGUUCCCCGCGUGCGCGCUCGGGGCUGGGGGACCCGGGCGGGGCCCGGGGCGCGCGGGCGGCCCGGGAGGAAUCACACAGGAGGCCAGGGAAUGCCUGGGGUUGCUCCCCAGGUUUAUUAGUGUUUUGCGUCAGCACCUUAAAAUAGUCCACGUAGUCACAUACGUGACAGAUUAGAAUCUGUUCCCCCAAAAGGCUAUUUACAUUAAUCCUGUUUUUCAUUUAAAAGGAAAAAAACCUAGCAACACGUACAUCCUAGAAACUAAACAAUGCACGACGGAUGGAUUGGGGUCUGCACAAACGUAGAGGGGUACCCCUUGGCCUACAGGUUCGGACCCCGUGGUGUCCAAGGCGGGGGACACGUUGGGCAGCGUUCUCCCUCCUCCACCCAUGGGGGGUGGGUCUGGGGACUGCGGGGAGGGACAAGCGCAGGUCAGGUGGCUGGCCCACAGAAGCAGGUGGCCCUGUCUUGUAUGAGGAAUCUGCUCCAGAGCAAAGGCCCGACCCUAGAGAGUGGCCAGGUCCUGCCGUCUGGGGGUGAGGGCAGUGCAGCAGGCCAUCCGGGGACCCUCCUGGAGCUGCAGCCACGAGACUGACUCAGAACACUGGCCUGCAAGCCCUGAGGUGAUGGUGACCCUGGGCUGGGGGGGGAGGGGGUCUGAUAUGGGAGGAGAGAGGAAGCAGUGGGCCAGGCUGGUGGGUUGGUCGCAGGCCCCCACCUGGCCCUGCUCAGUGGUGAGUGGCAGCUGCUCCUGCCUGGGGCCCACAUGCCUCGCACUCCACACCCGUCUCCGAGUGCCCACAGCUACACCGGCUCGCUCACAGAUGGCUUUGGCUUCUGUAUCUUCCUUUGAGGGACAAAGUGCUUUUACGUGGGUCCUCAGAACAGCUCCAUGAGCCAGCUCUGCAGCUAGAAAGCUACGUCAGCUGUGCCUCCUUCCUGUGGAGUCUGACCUUUGGAAAGGAACCGUAAGGAGCAGUGACCAAGGCCCUGGGGCCCAGUGGUGGGAACCAGCCCAGGGAGGCUCACAGACCCAGGGCCUGUUUCUGAGGGUGGCUGCUGGCUGCCUGAGGUGCUGGGCUCAGCGGCCAGCACCCCGACCCUGGUCCUUCUGAGCCAGGGGUCAGCCUGGUCCCCGGUGCCGUCAGAGGAGAAGGAGUACAGGCCAUCCUGGGGAAGGUCCUCUGCCCACAGGCAGCCCUGGUGCAGGGUUGCACACAAGGUGAGGCCAGUGUCCUGUCCCCUAACUAGCCCAGGGACCCCUUCCUGCCUUGGGGGAGGAAGCAGGCAGGUCACAGGUAAGGAGAGUGCGCCUCCCCCAAGGUCAGGCCUGCCUGUGGCAUGGGCUGUUGGUGAGGCCCGCAGCCUGCACUGCAUUUGGCACUGUUUUCUGAGCACGGCCUGGGUGGCCCCCUGGGUGGGCUACCAGGGUCACAGGAUUGCAGGGUCCCAGCUGCCUAAGGAUGGGACCUGGUGGGCUCUUCCUGUGGACACCGGCUGGACUCUGGCUGCAGGUCAGAAUGUCCCUUUGCUGCUGCACGGGAAGGCAGGGGGCGAGGCUACCAUGCAGGGCGGGACCCAAACUCUCACUCUCGGGAGCUUGGUCCAGAGGCUCCCUGCCUCUGCAGGGCACUCCCAGCUGUACCUACGGCCCCACUGGUGCCUGGCACCUGAGCUUUCGCUGGCCACGGAAGUGUGCAUGGGCCCAGACGUGCCUCAGCCGGCAGGCAGCCCAUGGAUCUUCGCGGCCACCCGCCUGACCCCAGUUCCCUGAGGAAGCAGUCCUGGCUUUUAGGAAGGACAGGACACGAAGUGUCUCUGUAGUAAACUGAAAUGUUAACAGAAAAGCAGCUGGGCCCCUGGCGCGCGCCGUCCAGGGCUCCGGGGCGGGGCUAGCAGGUGGACUUGGAGUGUCCGAAGAUGCAGAUGGGAAAGUGCUUGACGUGGGAGGACCACUGGGCCGCCAGCUGGAAGAACUUGACGUCAUUCCACUCCACACCGUCGAUGAGGACUGUGGGGACAGCACCACCUGACUGUGUGCCCCCACACCCCUGAUCCCUGGCUCCCAGCCGCCCGCGGCGGCCAGCUUCUCCCUGACCACGGGGGCCUGCUCGCCCACAGCCCCUCUGCCCUGGCUGGGAUCUGCAGAAUAGAUGGAGACACCUUCCUCUUAAAGCAGAAAAGCAACGGAGGAAGACAGGGCAGUUCUGGACCACAGUGGUCACCAGAUUGGAGCUCACCAAGAGAAAAUCAUUUUAGGCUCCGUAUUCUGAAUUAAUUAGCUGCGGAAUAUCUUCUAUAAAACGCCUGAGAUAUACAAGUCAGCACUUUAAAAGAACAGAAAGGGUUGAGAAAUUACUUCUGAAAAUUAAAAAGCUGUUCUAUGCACACAAGUGCUUUAUCCAAA